GAUGAACGCUGGCGGCGUGCCUAAUACAUGCAAGUCGAGCGAACGGACGAGAAGCUUGCUUUUCUGAUGUUAGCGGCGGACGGGUGAGUAACACGUGGAUAACCUACCUAUAAGACUUUUAUAACUUCGGGAAACCGGAGCUAAUACCGGAUAAUAUUUUGAACCGCAUGGUUCAAAAGUGAAAGACGGUCUUGCUGUCACUUAUAGAUGGAUCCGCGCUGCAUUAGCUAGUUGGUAAGGUAACGGCUUACCAAGGCAACGAUGCAUAGCCGACCUGAGAGGGUGAUCGGCCACACUGGAACUGAGACACGGUCCAGACUCCUACGGGAGGCAGCAGUAGGGAAUCUUCCGCAAUGGGCGAAAGCCUGACGGAGCAACGCCGCGUGAGUGAUGAAGGUCUUCGGAUCGUAAAACUCUGUUAUUAGGGAAGAACAUAUGUGUAAGUAACUGUGCACAUCUUGACGGUACCUAAUCAGAAAGCCACGGCUAACUACGUG
rnacentral:rRNA from 1 species